GCACUGCCCUCACUGCCACCGCAGCAAAUUACGCCCUCGGCCCCUCCCGUUACCCUCGGCGCCUCCUUCUCGACGAGUCCCCCCACGGCGCACCGUGCCAGCGAAGUUGCCGCCGGAUCCCACGGCGUCGACCUCAGAACCAGCGCUCCGCUUCCGCUCCACAGGUCAAGGAUGUUCCUGUGGAUGGAAAAAUGGAUGAGGGGCCUUCAGAGAGUCAACACGGAGUAGCAAAUUUACAAGUACGUCAAGCUUCGGGAAAAAGUUCAGUUGGCUCAGUUCUCGGAUCAGGAUGAUCUCAUCAAGUGAAUCUCACGGCCAGUGUCAGUUUUUUCUGCUAAAUCUGCUAAUGACGUUCAAUUCAUUUGAAAUUUCCCAAAAAAGAAAACGUUCAAUUGAUUGGCAGCAGCAGCUGCAUCUGGAGCAGCUUUGGAGGAUCAAUGUUGCUUCUUCUGAAUAGGAUCUUCAACGGUGGACAGGUUGGGGCCGCGCAACUGGCCGCACAACAACGCGUGCUUUUUGUGUGACCGGGAGCCUGAACCGGCCUGUGCACCUUCUGCUGCAUUUUCAUCAGAGGAUGGCUGACGUUGCUCCGGGAUCUCAAACAGUCAAAUGUGGUGGCGCAAGUUAAGCAGAGGGGUUUGCAAGGAGAACAGGAGGGCUGAAGUUUCGUAUGCUGCGUACACGGCUUGGAAGGAAAUAAACUUUAGAGUUUUUGAAGGCAAGCAAGCUCAACCUGGUUUGGUCUUGUAGUGGACUCAGGGAUGAUAUUAGCCUUUCCGAAUGAUGUGCUGCAGAAAUAGCCCUUUCUCCUGUGUAGGAGUUUGAGGCUAGAGUUGUUUCUUUUUUCCUUUUUCCUAGACCUGUUUUGUACUUUUUUCGCUUCUAUAAUGCAAAAGCAGAGCACCUGCUGGUUUUGGUCAAGAAA